rnacentral:rRNA from 1 species
AAGUACAUGCCGUAUUAAGGCGAAACCGCGAAUGGCUCAUUAAAUCAGUUAUGGUUCCUUGGAUCGUACCUUACUACUUGGAUAACUGUGGCAAUUCUAGAGCUAAUACAUGCAGCAGAGCUCCGACCUUCGGGAACGAGCGCUUUUAUUAGACCAAAACCAAUCGGGCCUCGUGUCCGUACCUUGUGGUGACUCUGUAUAACUUUGGGCUGAUCGCACGGGCUCGUCCCGGCGACGUAUCUUUCAAGUGUCUGCCUUAUCAACUGUCGAUGGUAGGUUACGCGCCUACCAUGGUCGUAACGGGUGACGGGGAAUCAGGGUUCGAUUCCGGAGAGGGAGCCUGAGAAACGGCUACCACAUCCAAGGAAGGCAGCAGGCGCGCAAAUUACCCACUCCCGGAACGGGGAGGUAGUGACGAAAAAUAACAAUACGGGACUCUUUUGAGACCCCGUAAUUGGAAUGAGUACACUCUAAAUCCUUUAACGAGGAUCCAUUGGAGAGCAAGUCUGGUGCCAGCCGUCGCGGUAAUUCCAGCUCCAAUAGCGUAUAUUAAAGUUGUUGCGGUUAAAAAGCUCGUAGUUGGAUCUCAGCUCGAGACGGACGGUCCGCCUACCGGUGGUUACUAUCCGUUCUCAGCAUUUAGUUAGCCAUUCCAGAUGAUCUUCAUCGGUUGUCUAGAGUGACUGACAAGUUUACUUUGAAAAAAUUAGAGUGCUCAAAGCAGACGUGACGUCUGAAUAAUUGUGCAUGGAAUAAUGGAAUAGGACCUCGGUUCUAUUUUGUUGGUUUUCGGAACACGAGGUAAUGAUUAAGAGGGACAGACGGGGGCAUUCGUAUUGCGACGCUAGAGGUGAAAUUCUUGGACCGUCGCAAGACGAACUACUGCGAAAGCAUUUGCCAAGAAUGUUUCCAUUAAUCAAGAACGAAAGUUAGAUGUUCGAAGGCGAUCAGAUACCGCCCUAGUUCUAACCAUAAACGAUGCCAGCCAGCGAUCCGGCUGUGUUCCUCAAAUGACACGCCGGGCAGCUUCCGGGAAACCAAAGCUUUUGGGUUCCGGGGGAAGUAUGGUUGCAAAGCUGAAACUUAAAGGAAUUGACGGAAGGGCACCACCAGCAAUGGAGCCUGCGGCUCAAUUUGACUCAACACGGGAAAACUUACCCGGCCCGGACACAGGAAGGAUUGAC